rnacentral:rRNA from 1 species
AGUCUGGUGCCAGCAGCCGCGGUAAUACCAGCUCCAAUAGCGUAUAUGUCCUUUGCUGUGGUUAAAAGCUCGUAGUUGGAUUUCUGACCAGGUGCGCCUAUCCCUUCGUCUUCGGACGCAGCGCGAUGGCCGCGCACCGGUCAUCUUUCGCGAGAGCAGUUGUGCCCUUAGUUGGGUUUACGGCUGGGAUCGCGGACUUUUACUUUGAAAAAAUUAGAGUGUUCAAGGCAGGCGUUUCGCCUGAAUAGUCCAGCAUGGAAUAAUAAGAUAGGACUUUGGUUCUAUUUUGUUGGUUUCUAGGGCCAGAGUAAUGAUUGAUAGGGAUAGUUGGGGGUGCUAGUAUUGAACGGCCAGCGGUGAAAUGCUCGGAUUCGUUCAAGACUAACGUAUGCGAAAGCGUUCGCCAAGGAUGUCUUCUUUAAUCAAGAACGAAAGUUGGGGGAUCGAAGACGAUCAGAUACCGUCGUAGUCCCAACCAUAAACUAUACCGGCUGGGGAUCAGUGAACGUUGAGAUUGACUUCAUUGGCACCCUAUGAGAAAUCAAAGCCUUUGGGUUCCGGGGGGAGUAUGGUCGCAAGGCUGAAACUUAAAGGAAUUGACGGAAGGGCACCACCAGGCGUGGAGCUUGCGGCUUAAUUUGACUCAACACGGGGAAACUUACCAGGUCCAGACACAGGAAGGAUUGCCAGGUUGAAGACCUUGCUUGAUUCUGUGGGUGGUGGUGCAUGGCCGUUAUUAGUUGGUGGAGUGAUCUGUCUGGUUAAUUCCGUUAACGAACGAGACCUUGGCCUGCUAAUUAGUUGGCGCCAUUACGAUGGUGUCCAACUUCUUAGAGGGACUAUCUGUGAUGAGCAGAUGGAAGUGCGAGGCUAUAACAGGUCUGUGAUGCCCUUCGACGUUCUGGGCCGCACGCGUGCUACACUGAUGAGUUCAACGAGUUCGAUCAUUCUUGGCCGAUAGGUCUGGGAAAUCUUUGAACGCUCAUCGUGAUUGGGAUAGAUGCUUGCAAUUUUUCAUCUUGAACGAGGAAUGCCUAGUAAUCGCAAGUCAUCAACUUGCAAUGAUUACGUCCCUGCCCUUUGUACACACCGCCCGUCGCUCCUACCGAUUGAGCGGUCCGGUGAGGUGCAAGGAUCGGUGGCGGCGGUCUUUGACCCCGACGCUGAGAAUUGCACCAAGCCU